AUGCGCCUAGACAUAGCACAAAAGAAUAGGGCACUCUCCGAUGAGGAAUUCCACCUUCGCAAACUAUUAAAGCUUCGAAUUUUAGGACUAGCUGCAAUUGAGCAGGCAAGAAAACGGCAAGCCUCCCGAAUUACAUGGUUGCGGGCUGGAGACGCACCGACCACCUUCUUUCAGGCAAAGAUUAACUCUAGAAAUAGGAAGAGAUUCAUCCACACUCUGCAUGGGCCUGUAGGUGUGAUCACCUCGCAGGAGGACAAGGAAGCAUUAAUCCAUGACCAUUUCAACUCCUUGUUGGGAACGAUAGUCCACCGCGACACCACCAUCCACUGGAGCUCUGUCGACGUACCUCGCCUGCAAGGGGGAGGCAUGGACAACCCUUUUACAGAAGAAGAAGAAGAAGAAGAAGUAUGGCUCGUGAUCAAAUCCUCUCCGGCCAAGCGAUCACCAGGACCGGACGGCUUCUCUGACACAUUCUUCCGAUCUUGCUGGACUGUCAUCAAGGACGACAUCAUGGUGGCAUUUAGCCAAUUCUACAACCUAGCUGGUAGGAAUUUUCCAUCUAUCAACACGGCCCUGGUGGCCCUGCUCCCCAAGAAAGAUGGGGCUUCCUCCAACAGUGAUUAUAGGCCUAUUAGCUUAAUUCCUUCCAUCGCCAAACUGAUCUCAAAGGUCCUCUCAAUGAGGCUGGCUGCGGUCAUCCAUACACUAAUCUCCCCAACGCAGUCGGCUUUCCUCCGAACCAAGUGUAUCCAUGAUAGCUUCCUUUACGUCUAG
rnacentral:rRNA from 1 species